rnacentral:rRNA from 1 species
GAGUUUGAUCAUGGCUCAGGAUGAACGCUGGCGGCGUGCUUAACACAUGCAAGUCGAACGAACCUUCGGGUUAGUGGCGGACGGGUGAGUAACGCGUGAGAAUCUGCCCUCAGGAGGGGGAUAACAGCUGGAAACGGCUGCUAAUACCCCAUAUGCCGCGAGGUGAAAUGAAUUUCGCCUGAGGAUGAGCUCGCGUCUGAUUAGCUAGUUGGUGUAGGUAAUGGCUCACCAAGGCAUCGAUCAGUAGCUGGUCUGAGAGGAUGAUCAGCCACACUGGGACUGAGACACGGCCCAGACUCCUACGGGAGGCAGCAGUGGGGAAUUUUCCGCAAUGGGCGAAAGCCUGACGGAGCAACGCCGCGUGAGGGAUGAAGGCCUCUGGGCUGUAAACCUCUUUUAUCAAGGAAGAAGAUCUGACGGUACUUGAUGAAUAAGCCACGGCUAAUUCCGUGCCAGCAGCCGCGGUAAUACGGGAGUGGCAAGCGUUAUCCGGAAUUAUUGGGCGUAAAGCGUCCGCAGGCGGCCCUUCAAGUCUGCUGUUAAAAAGUGGAGCUUAACUCCAUCAUGGCAGUGGAAACUGAGGGGCUUGAGUGUGGUAGGGGCAGAGGGAAUUCCCGGUGUAGCGGUGAAAUGCGUAGAUAUCGGGAAGAACACCAGUGGCGAAGGCGCUCUGCUGGGCCAUCACUGACGCUCAUGGACGAAAGCCAGGGGAGCGAAAGGGAUUAGAUACCCCUGUAGUCCUGGCCGUAAACGAUGAACACUAGGUGUCGGGGGAAUCGACCCCCUCGGUGUCGUAGCCAACGCGUUAAGUGUUCCGCCUGGGGAGUACGCACGCAAGUGUGAAACUCAAAGGAAUUGACGGGGGCCCGCACAAGCGGUGGAGUAUGUGGUUUAAUUCGAUGCAACGCGAAGAACCUUACCAGGGUUUGACAUCCUGCGAAUCUUUUGGAAACGAGAGAGUGCCUUCGGGAGCGCAGUGACAGGUGGUGCAUGGCUGUCGUCAGCUCGUGUCGUGAGAUGUUGGGUUAAGUCCCGCAACGAGCGCAACCCACGUCUUUAGUUGCCAGCAUUUAGUUGGGCACUCUAGAGAGACCGCCGGUGAUAAACCGGAGGAAGGUGUGGAUAACGUCAAGUCAUCAUGCCCCUUACAUCCUGGGCUACACACGUACUACAAUGCUACGGACAAAGGGCAGCAAGUUCGCGAGGACAAGCAAAUCCCAUAAACCGUGGCUCAGUUCAGAUCGUAGGCUGCAACUCGCCUACGUGAAGGAGGAAUCGCUAGUAAUCGCAGGUCAGCAUACUGCGGUGAAUACGUUCCCGGGCCUUGUACACACCGCCCGUCACACCAUGGAAGUUGGCCACGCCCGAAGCCGUUACUCCAACCCUUGUGGAGGAGGACGUCGAAGGUGGGGCUGAUGACUGGGGUGAAGUCGUAACAAGGUAACC